AAGAAAGUGGCAGAGUGGUUAGGCAGCUGGCUUGAAACCAGUAAACGGGGGUUCAAUUCCUCCUUUCUCG
rnacentral:tRNA from 1 species